GACGAACGCUGGCGGCGGGCUUAACACAUGCAAGUCGAACGGAAAGGCCCUGCUUUUGUGGGGUGCUCGAGUGGCGAACGGGUGAGUAACACGUGAGUAACCUGCCCUUGACUUUGGGAUAACUUCAGGAAACUGGGGCUAAUACCGGAUAGGAGCUCCUGCUGCAUGGUGGGGGUUGGAAAGUUUCGGCGGUUGGGGAUGGACUCGCGGCUUAUCAGCUUGUUGGUGGGGUAGUGGCUUACCAAGGCUUUGACGGGUAGCCGGCCUGAGAGGGUGACCGGCCACAUUGGGACUGAGAUACGGCCCAGACGCCUACGGGAGGCAGCAGUGGGGAAUAUUGCACAAUGGGCGGAAGCCUGAUGCAGCAACGCCGCGUGCGGGAUGACGGCCUUCGGGUUGUAAACCGCUUUCGCCUGUGACGAAGCGUGAGUGACGGUAAUGGGUAAAGAAGCACCGGCUAACUACGUG
rnacentral:rRNA from 1 species